UCCGCCAGCUCCUGACAGCUUGAAUCAAAUGUCUGCCCAAACCUAGAUGGCCCAAGGAGCUGGCAUGGCUGAGGCACAGCUUGGAGCAGCUGGAGCGAUGUGUCUGUUGCACCGGAGCUGUCGGCCAUGCUGUUCCAGUUCAGGGGCUCCUGCAACAGAAAAGAUCAGCUGUUGGAGAACCCAUGGAAAGCCCUGGGGGAGAGCCAUGGCCGCAAGAGGAAUCUCACUUUGCCUUUUUCUCCCUGCUGCCUCUAGAGGACCAGGCGAUUCUAGGCACAGCUCUAGCAGAUGGUUUUGGUGAUGUAAAGCGCAAGGGGAUCGCUCCCAAGAGCUGCUGAGGCAGUUAAGUCAGAAAUGAACUGAUGCAUGCGGCAUGUCAUAUCCCCUGCUCGGCCGCCUUCGGACAGUUUCCUUGGCACAGGCAGCCUGCACCGCCCUGCACGUCCCCAUGCAGUGAUUUACCCAUGGAGAUUUCUCUGCAUCUGACCCAAAAUUAGCUGAAAUGGGUGAUCAGCCCUUUUAUAAGCACUCUGAGCUAUUCUGAGUCAGAGCAAGCAGCGUGUGCUGCUCAGGUGAUCGUGCAGUGAGUGAAAUCUAAACCAGCAAUGCCUUCACUUCUCUGGCACGGCACGAGCUGCAGCAGGGUGCUGGGAGUGCACCAGGCACGGGGCAGUGCCAACUGCACUUUGUUGCAGGUCAGGAGAAAUUUUCUGAAUGUUUUACAAGCUGUAAUGUAAAACCUUAACCUUUUGUCCACAGCAAAUAUUGCCAAAGUUGUUUGAGAAUGAGAGAAGCAAAUCUAUAUUUUGUCAAUAUUAGUCUGGAAAAUAAAAUAUGAGAACCAGAAGCAUUCAGUGCUGAGCAAAUGAAAACUAAUUUCUGUUACGUGAGAACUGACUCUUCCUCUCAGUGAGAUUUUCCUUACUUUAGUAAGAAAAUCUAGAUCUAUACUAGGAAAUCCAAACGUUUUUCAGCAGAACUACAGGUAAUUUAUAGACAAGCAGUUCUGAAGUGCAUGCAGCAUUGCAGGGCGCUGUGCUAAACUCCAUACAUCUCCUGCUGCCAAGCCUGGCUCUCCAUGCGGACGCUUCUCUCCAAGCAGCUGUGCACAAUGGACCCGCGCUGCCUCUCUGAUGAAACUCUCUCCCCUAAAUGGUUAAAGACAAGAAACCAGAAAUGAUCCAUAAAUUAGGUCUGGCUAUAGGUUCAAAAUCAUAAGUUAUGGCCUCUUGACCUCAUACUCUGAGGGGAAAUCAGAAGCAUUUUUCUGAAGAGCCACCACUGGAGGAAGGGAGGUUUAAUAUAUGGCACAGCAGAGCACUGAUGCAAAUAAAUACAACGCUGCAUAAUUGCAGGGAAAAUCAAUAAAUAGCAUGUUGGCUAAAAUGAAGAUAUACUUAUUGAGGUUUCGGGUUUAUAUGUGUGAAUGGCUUUUUCCCUAGAAAUGAAGAGAUUUUUUUCCCUGCGUAGAGGCUCUUUAAACACAACAAAGACAAUGGCUCCUCCACCAUCCCUUUUAAAACAAGCGAGUUUUAUCCACUGUCUUCCUCAGAGCAGCUAUCUUAAGAGUCGUGAUUAUUAGCAUAAUUAAUAACUCCAGUUUGCUCAUUUGAAAAAUUCCAGCGACAUUGCCGCUCAGACACCGUGUCAACGCAAGACACACGAAAUCGCUGUGACAACUGUUUUACAAGUUAAGGCUUUAUUGACGAACACCGCAAAGAGAUGAAGCCCAGAGCAAGUCCCUUUUCACUUUAAUAUUUAAACCUCUUUUAAGAGUCCGUCAAUAUUAACUCUCAUAAUUGAUGCCGACAGUUGACUGUCUGGCCAUAAAAAAGACAAGUGAUACAAUAAAAAACUAAUAAUAGCAGCCACCACACGCCGGCCACCGCAGCGAAGGGCACUGAGGUCUUGCACCCCCGAUGCAAUCGAAGCAGAGCUCAUGCUGUUGUGGGGGAGUGGAUUGGGGCCUUCAGGGUGCCACCAGGCUCUGCUGGUGGUUUUUCUCCUGACCUCCUGGGCCACGGCAAAGGGCUCACACUGCUCUCAAGAAACCUGUCCUUGCUCAGCCCGGAGACUGGCCGAUGCUUUUAAUAACCAAAUACCAUUUGUAGGUAGUUAACCUCAGGAUUUCCAGCAUUAAAGAUAUUUCCCACAGGAACCAGGGAGCACUGCAGGAAUGGAUAAAUGCAAAGUUCAUGGAAGUCGAUGGGAAACAGUAUACAGCCCUUUGCAAGUCCCGGCACAUGGGGAAAAUAUCCAGCAAGCGUUCUGAGCGCCAGGCAAUGGAAAUAUUUAUUUAUUGGGCAGAGCCGCCUGCUUUUCAUUAACCUUAUUCUGAGAAAUGAGUCUGUUGUUUCUGCUUAAACUUUGGGCUAGAAGUAGUAAAAAUGGUAAAAAACAUAAAAAUGAGUUCUAACGCAAAGCAUUAGAUAACCUGAAGUAUGGUUAUUGUCAGUGCUUGGUCUAUAGCACAGAGGGAGUUGUGCAGUAGCUCUCCAUCCCCGUUUUUUGACUUGAGGUAUAGAGUAGUUUUGCUGGCCUUGAUUUCUACUAGCAUGCAGGAUAUAGCAUAAAAUCAAACCCAAAAAUGUAUCGUUGUCAUUGAAGCCAACACAAUAGUUUGAAUUUUUACAUUUUUUAAACUUUCUGAAAUCUCCCUGGACAAACACACCACACUUCAGCUAAGCCAUUUUCGAUACCUCUGCUCUUACGUUCAGCCUUAAACAAAAAGCAGCAAAUCUCCUCCUUAGCACCACUCUCCCAGCAAACACACUCUUGCUCUGCCAGUGUUUAGCUGUGUGUCCCAGCCAAGGGUUUUCCUUUUGUUCCUGAUGCUUUUUCUCUGUGCUUUGGGGUUCUCAAGGCGUUUUUCACUCCUGACAGAGGAAGACAACAACAGAGGAACUGUGAUUAAAGAGACAAUGAGAAGUCCUAACCGCUUCCGUGUGGCAGAGAGCAGGUUACGGAUUUAGCACUAACAACAGAAAAUAGGAGAGCUUUGUAGCAAUUAAAGCUGGUCAAAACCCAGCAAAUGCUAGAGAAAAUAGGAGAAAAAAUCAUUGCGGUAUUACUAGUCUA